AUGAAGGUUAGUGUUGCAAUAAGUUGUUACAUCACCGUCCAUUUGAGGUGUGCUCUGAAUCAACAUCACCAUCGAUUUUCAAUUUUGUAUGCAGCUUCUGGAGGCAGGCUAUGUGUAUCUAUGAGGGACUACUACUGCUACAAAUUCCAGAUGCAUCCAGGGAUAUUCAACCCGAUCCUCUUUGGCAAGCGUCUUUUUCAGCAGUUCGCGGUCGACACAUACAUCAAGAUUGAGAACUCCCGGUUGGACUAUAUAUGGGGUCAUCAAGAUAAAAUAAGGGCGGACCUGUACCAAGGCUUGGUGGAUAGCUUACAUGCUGGUGAGGGUAGGGCAGAUUCUGUUGGAAAACGCACAGUUCUAGCUACGUCAUUUAUCGGUGGUCCAUGA
rnacentral:rRNA from 1 species